rnacentral:rRNA from 1 species
AUAGUAAACGCAGGGGCUCUCGAAGUUGAGGGCGGAGAUUCAGGCUGAUGGCUGGGUGGCCGGGGUGUUUGGGAUCCGCAAGGACCCGGCGCCACGGUUGGCCUGGUCGGCGGCUGCACUUCUCUGUCCUUUCACGCCACGAACCGCUGUUGCCGGACCGCGGCCGNGGAUGAAGUUUUGGCGGGCUUGCCUGCUGAAGCACCCCGUGCCUGGCUCUGGCGGCGGCGGGUAUCGGAGCAGGCUCGUAUAGCGAGUGUCCUCGUUGGCACGGCUUGCAUCUCUGUGGCGAGUAGGUCGGCGGCCCCUGCGACCCGUCUUGAAACACGGACCAAGGAGUUUAACAUGUGCGCGAGCCAUUGGGCGGACUAACCCCAAGGGCGCAGUGAAAGCAAAGGCCGCUUGCCGGCUGAGGGGUGAUCCCUGUAUUGGGCGCAACCCCGGCGCUUCGCAUCGACCUUGCUUCGUGCGGAGCAGCAAGAGCGUACACGUUGAGACCCGAAAGAUGGUGAACUAUGCCUGGCCAGGAUGAAGUCAGGGGAAACCCUGAUGGAGGUCCGUAGUGGUUCUGACGUGCAAAUCGAUCACCGGAGCUGGGUAUAGGGGCGAAAGACUAAUCGAACCAUCUAGUAGCUGGUUCCUGCCGAAGUUUCCCUCAGGAUAGCUGGUGCUCAUAUACGAGUUUCAUCCGGUAAAGCGAAUGAUUAGAAGCAUUGGGGGCGAAACGCCCUCAACUUAUUCUCAAACUUUAAAUGGGUGAGAAGUCUGUCUUGCUUGAGUGAAGUCAGACACUGAAUCGGAGUGCCUAGUGGGCCAUUUUUGGUAAGCAGAACUGGCGCUGUGGGAUGAACCAAACGCAGAGUUAAAGUGCCAAAGUGGAAGCUCAUCAGAUCCCACGAAAGGUGUUGGUUGCUUAAAACAGCAGGACGGUGGCCAUGGAAGUCGGAAUCCGCUAAGGAGUGUGUAACAACUCACCUGCCGAAGCAACUAGCCCUGAAAAUGGAUGGCGCUAAAGCUUCCCACUUAUACUCUNCCGUUGNAGUNAGAGCUGNCCCUUGUGUGGUCCUGACAACUGAACGAGUAGGCAGGUCGCUCGGGUAGCGCAGAAGGCUCUGGGUGUGAACCUGGCUGGAGCUGCCCGAGGUGCAGAUCUUGGUGGUAGUAGCAAAUACUCCAGAGAGGCCCUGGAGGACCGAUGUGGAGAAGGGUUCAGUGUGAACAGCUGUUGGACACUGGUCAGUCACUCCUAAGGCUUUAGGGGAAACCCUAUAAAAUUGUGUGGUGUUUUCAGUUUGACUAGACCACAACUACAGCCGAAAGGGAAUGAGGUUCUUAUUCCUCAACCUGAUAGCGGAACCGAUUCGGCCCUCGUACCGACACGGCAACGUGAAAUGAGCCUGAGACGCCCACCCGAGCUCUGGGAAGAGUUGUCUUUUCUGCAUAAGCCGCUGAGGCCCUGGAAUUCCUUCGAGGAGAGAAUGGGUUUUGGUCUUGGCAAAGAGCGCAGCAGUUCUUGCUGUGUCCAUGAGUGACGGGCGGGACCUUGAAAAUCAGGCUGAGGGUUACGGCGGAGUCGCAUCAGCGUGUACCCAUAUCCGCAGCAGGUCUCCUAGGUGAAUAGCCUCUGGUCGAUAGAAUAAUGUAGGUAAGGGAAGUCGGCAAAUUGGAUCCGUAACUUCGGGAUAAGGAUUGGCUCUGAGGGUCGGGGUGUUUGGGCUUUGAGCUGGAAGCAGGUUGGCCUACAGGUGGGCCUGGCCGAACCCUUGGGUGAAGUCGGUCCCGUUCACAGGCUCCUGUGGAUAGCCAUUGCUUUGCGGGCCCGGGCAACCGGUGUCCGUUCAAACAUCAAUCAACGACUAACUCAGAACUGGCACGGACUAGGGGAAUCCGACUGUCUAAUUAAAACAAAGCAUUGCGAUGGUCAGAGAGUGAUGUUGACGCAAUGUGAUUUCUGCCCAGUGCUCUGAAUGUCAAAGUGAAGAGGUUCGUCCAAGCGCGGGUAAACGGCGGGAGUAACUAUGACUCUCUUAAGGUAGCCAAAUGCCUCGNCAUCUAAUUAGUGNCGCGCAUGAAUGGAUUAACGAGAUUCCCACUGUCCCUAUCUACUAUCUAGCGAAACCGCAGCCAAGGGAACGGACUUGGGAAGAUCAGCGGGGAAAGAAGACCCUGUUGAGUUUGACUCUAGUCUCCUAUUGUGGCGGAGCAUCUCUGGCGUAGAAUAGGGAGGAGAACUUUGUUCAACAGUGAAAUACUCCUACGGAGAUCGCUCCUCUGCUUACUCGGUGAGGCGGGGUACGGAAGCCUGGCUUUCGUUUUCUCGAAUCAACUGUGGGGGCUUUGUCUCCUGCAGGACCUGCUCCGAGGACAUUGCGAGGCGGGGAGUUUGACUGGGGC